rnacentral:rRNA from 1 species
CAAUAGCGUAUAUUAAAGUUGUUGCAGUUACAAAGCUCGUAGUUGGAUUUCUGGUCGGAAGCUCCUGUCCUCUGAUGAGCGUACAAGUGCGUCCUACCAUCCUUCUGUUAACCUUUAAGGCUUUCGCGGCUUUCUAGGGGCUCAGAUAUUUUACCUUGAGAAAAUUAGAGUGUUUCAGGCAGGCUAGCGCCGGAAUACAUUAGCAUGGAAUAAUGGAAUAGGACUUUUGCCUCUUCUGUUGGUCAUGAGGCUCGAGUAAUGAUUAAUAGGGAUAGUUGGGGGCAUUAGUACUUAACUGUCAGAGGUGAAAUUCUCGGAUUUGUUAAAGACUAACUUAUGCGAAAGCAUUUGCCAAGGAUGUUUUCAUUAA